rnacentral:lncRNA from 10 species
AAAAAUUAUCAAAUUAUUUCCAACUCUUCUUCUUGGUCCUCAAAGUUCUGGCCCAUUUCUCCUUCUUUCUAUAAGAAAUUCCCUGAUAUUUCUAGUAGCAAUCUGGGUAGAUUCUCUCCUGGGCUUCUCCCAGUUCUUCUGCUCCCAUCCCCUCUCCAUCAUCCACAACUAUAUUUGAUAUUGACUGAUUCAUAGAUUACUAACACCACUUCUACUAUCAGUUCAUUCGCAUCACAUGACAAACAGUGAUUGCACACCUACUACAUUUCAACCCUCUGGUCACUCCAGGCCAGCAAUAGAUGUUUCCAAAAUGAGAACAUUAUGUGUUACACAAGCCCAAAGAUGCAAGAAACCAGAAAAGGGAGCCCAGGAAAUUCAGGAAUAUAUUCUACUUUUCCAUGCAAGAAGAUAAAUAUAGAUGAUAAGGAUGGGGAUAAAGAGAAGCCUGGAAUAGAACAGAAUUCAAAAUCACAACUCAAGCAGCAUUUUAGAUUGAACCAGAAGGAAUUUAGCCCUACUACAUUUUAAGUUUUUAAUCAGACAGGAAAAUUUAACGGGAAAUGUAAUGGCAUGCUACACCUGGCAACGCUGGCCAGUAACCAAACAUCCUGGAAGUAUGUUUAUGGAGGUUGCUGUGUCUUGAACAAAGCUGAGAGCAUCUUGCCCUUUAAUCAGCAUAGGCACUAACCAGAGAAGGCUUCCUACAUGCAAUUUGCAUAGAAAUCAAAUGGGAAAACUAGUCCCACCAGCUUCUUAACUGUGAAAUACCAGGAGUGAUCUCAGUUUUAUUGAAUAUCUUCAGGACUUUAUGCUGAUAUGUUUUAGGGAAGAGAUAUUGGCUUCAUUGUCUCAGUUGAUGGCAUUUUCACGCCC